rnacentral:tRNA from 1 species
GCCUCAUUAGCUCAGUGGUAGAGCAGUUGGCUGUUAACCAAUUGGUCGGUGGUUCAAAUCCUCCAUGAGGCGCCA